CAGGCCUAACACAUGCAAGUCGAACGGUAGCACAGAGAGCUUGCUCUCGGGUGACGAGUGGCGGACGGGUGAGUAAUGUCUGGGAAACUGCCUGAUGGAGGGGGAUAACUACUGGAAACGGUAGCUAAUACCGCAUAACGUCGCAAGACCAAAGAGGGGGACCUUCGGGCCUCUUGCCAUCAGAUGUGCCCAGAUGGGAUUAGCUAGUAGGUGGGGUAACGGCUCACCUAGGCGACGAUCCCUAGCUGGUCUGAGAGGAUGACCAGCCACACUGGAACUGAGACACGGUCCAGACUCCUACGGGAGGCAGCAGUGGGGAAUAUUGCACAAUGGGCGCAAGCCUGAUGCAGCCAUGCCGCGUGUAUGAAGAAGGCCUUCGGGUUGUAAAGUACUUUCAGCGGGGAGGAAGGGAGUAAGGUUAAUAACCUUGUUCAUUGACGUUACCCGCAGAAGAAGCACCGGCUAACUCCGUGCCAGCAGCCGCGGUAAUACGGAGGGUGCGAGCGUUAAUCGGAAUUACUGGGCGUAAAGCGCACGCAGGCGGUCUGUCAAGUCGGAUGUGAAAUCCCCGGGCUCAACCUGGGAACUGCAUCCGAAACUGGCAGGCUUGAGUCUCGUAGAGGGAGGUAGAAUUCCAGGUGUAGCGGUGAAAUGCGUAGAGAUCUGGAGGAAUACCGGUGGCGAAGGCGGCCUCCUGGACGAAGACUGACGCUCAGGUGCGAAAGCGUGGGGAGCAAACAGGAUUAGAUACCCUGGUAGUCCACGCCGUAAACGAUGUCUAUUUGGAGGUUGUGCCCUGAGGCGUGGCUUCCGGAGCUAACGCGUAAAUAGACCCGCC
rnacentral:rRNA from 1 species